AUCUUCAGGGCAGGGUGUGAUUCCCGACCGGUGGUUAUAGCCCACGCGCCGCAAGGCAUGAUUCGGUGUGAUUCCGAAGCCGACCGUAAAGUCUGGAUGAAAGAAGAUG
rnacentral:ncRNA from 1 species